GAUGAACGCUGGCGGCGCGCCUAAUACAUGCAAGUCGAGCGAACAGACGAGGAGCUUGCUCCUCUGACGUUAGCGGCGGACGGGUGAGUAACACGUGGAUAACCUACCUAUAAGACUGGGAUAACUUCGGGAAACCGGAGCUAAUACCGGAUAAUAUAUUGAACCGCAUGGUUCAAUAGUGAAAGACGGUUUUGCUGUCACUUAUAGAUGGAUCCGCGCCGCAUUAGCUAGUUGGUAAGGUAACGGCUUACCAAGGCAACGAUGCGUAGCCGACCUGAGAGGGUGAUCGGCCACACUGGAACUGAGACACGGUCCAGACUCCUACGGGAGGCAGCAGUAGGGAAUCUUCCGCAAAGGGCGAAAGCUUGACGGAGCAACGCCGCGUGAGUGAUGAAGGUCUUCGGAUCGUAAAACUCUGUUAUUAGGGAAGAACAAAUGUGUAAGUAACUAUGCACGUCUUGACGGUACCUAAUCAGAAAGCCACGGCUAACUACGUG
rnacentral:rRNA from 1 species